rnacentral:tRNA from 1 species
GAGGGCAUAGCUCAAAUGGUAGAGUGUGUGCUUAGCAUGCACGAGGGCCUGGGUUCCAUCCCCAGUACCUCCA